rnacentral:rRNA from 1 species
AGAGUUUGAUCCUGGCUCAGGAUGAACGCUAGCGACAGGCUUAACACAUGCAAGUCGAGGGGCAGCGGGGUUGUAGCAAUACAACUGCCGGCGACCGGCGCACGGGUGAGUAACACGUAUGUAACCUGCCCUCUGCAGGGGGAUAAGCGGAAGAAAUUCCGUCUAAUACCGCAUGAUACAAUUUGGAGACAUCUCCGGGUUGUCAAAGGAGUGAUUCGGCAGAGGAUGGGCAUGCGGCGCAUUAGCUAGUCGGCGGGGUAACGGCCCACCGAGGCUACGAUGCGUAGGGGUUCUGAGAGGAAGGUCCCCCACACUGGUACUGAGACACGGACCAGACUCCUACGGGAGGCAGCAGUGAGGAAUAUUGGUCAAUGGGCGGAAGCCUGAACCAGCCAAGUCGCGUGAGGGAAGACGGUCCUAUGGAUUGUAAACCUCUUUUGCAGGGGAGCAAGGCGCGGUACGUGUACCGCGAAGGAGAGUACCCUGAGAAAAAGCAUCGGCUAACUCCGUGCCAGCAGCCGCGGUAAUACGGAGGAUGCGAGCGUUAUCCGGAUUUAUUGGGUUUAAAGGGUGCGCAGGCGGACUGUUAAGUCAGCGGUAAAAUGUCGGUGCUCAACACCGGCCGGCCGUUGAAACUGGCAGCCUUGAGUGAGCGAGAAGUAUGCGGAAUGCGUGGUGUAGCGGUGAAAUGCAUAGAUAUCACGCAGAACUCCGAUUGCGAAGGCAGCAUACCGGCGCUCAACUGACGCUCAGGCACGAAAGCGUGGGUAUCGAACAGGCUUAGAUACCCUGGUAGUCCACGCAGUAAACGAUGAAUGCUCACUGUCCGGGCCGUUUAAGGCCUGGGUGGUCAAGCGAAAGCGUUAAGCAUUCCACCUGGGGAGUACGCCGGCAACGGUGAAACUCAAAGGAAGUGACGGGGGCCCGCACAAGCGGAGGAACAUGUGGUUUAAUUCGAUGAUACGCGAGGAACCUUACCCGGGCUCAAACGGAAGGGGACAGUAUGAGAAAUCAUACAUUCCUUCGGGACCGCUUCCGAGGUGCUGCAUGGUUGUCGUCAGCUCGUGCCGUGAGGUGUCGGCUUAAGUGCCAUAACGAGCGCAACCCCUAUCGACAGUUGCUAGCAGGUAAAGCUGAGGACUCUGUCGAGACUGCCGGCGCAAGCUGUGAGGAAGGCGGGGAUGACGUCAAAUCAGCACGGCCCUUACGUCCGGGGCGACACACGUGUUACAAUGGCAGGUACGGCGGGAGGCCACCCGGCGACGGGGCGCAGAACCCGAAAACCUGUCUCAGUUCGGAUUGGAGUCUGCAACCCGACUCCAUGAAGCUGGAUUCGCUAGUAAUCGCGCAUCAGCCACGGCGCGGUGAAUACGUUCCCGGGCCUUGUACUCACAGGCCGUCA